UACGUAGGGUGCGAGCGUUUGUCCGGAAUUACUGGGCGUAAAGAGCUCGUAGGUGGUUUGUCGCGUUGUUCGUGAAAACUCACAGCUCAACUGUGGGCGUGCGGGCGAUACGGGCAGACUGGAGUACUGCAGGGGAGACUGGAAUUCCUGGUGUAGCGGUGGAAUGCGCAGAUAUCAGGAGGAACACCGGUGGCGAAGGCGGGUCUCUGGGCAGUAACUGACGUGGAGGAGCGAAAGCGUGGGGAGCGAACAGG
rnacentral:rRNA from 1 species